rnacentral:rRNA from 1 species
GACGAACGCUGGCGGCGUGCUUAACACAUGCAAGUCGAACGGACCUGUUUUUGAAGCGCUUCGGCGUGGAUGGGACGGGGCAGUGGCGCACGGGUGAGUAAUGCGCGAGGACCUGCCCGCAGGAGGGGGACAGCAGUUGGAAACGGCUGGUGAUACCCCGUAGGCCGGGAGGUGAAAGGGCGGAGACGCCCGCCUGCGGAUGGACUCGCGUCCUAUCAGCUAGUUGGUGAGGCAACGGCUCACCAAGGCGACGACGGGUAGCCGGCCUGAGAGGAUGGCCGGCCACACUGGAACUGAGACACGGCCCAGACUCCUACGGGAGGCAGCAGUUGGGAAUCUUCGGCAAUGGGCGCAAGCCUGACCGAGCAACGCCGCGUGAGUGAUGAAGGUUUUCGGAUUGUAAAGCUCUGUCUUCCGGGACGAUAAUGACGGUACCGGAGGAGGAAGCCACGGCUAACUACGUG